rnacentral:rRNA from 1 species
GUGUCAGCAGCCGCGGUAAUACGUAAGGGGCAAGCGUUGUCCGGAAUCACUGGGCGUAAAGCGCACGUAGGCGGUGCAGCAAGUCAGGGGUGCAAGCUCCGGGCCUAACCCGGAAAUUGCCUCUGAAACUACUGUGCUUGAGGGUUGGAGGGGAAGCUGGAAUUCACGGUGUAGCGGUGAAAUGCGUAGAUAUCGUGGAGAACACCCGUGGCGAAGGCGGGCUUCUGGCCGACUCCUGACGCUGAGGUGCGAAAGCUAGGGGAGCGAACGGGAUUAGAAACCCUGGUAGUCC